rnacentral:lncRNA from 1 species
GAACUUCUACAGCAGCUACCAAUUUCUACGCAGGUAUGGACUGAUAUAUCCAUGGAUUUUAUCGAUGGACUUCUUAAUUCUAAUGGUCAUACAAUUAUCUUGGUAGUGGUUGAUUGCCUAUCAAAAUAUGGCCACUUUGUUUCCAUAGCCCACCCGUACAUUGCAGCCAAAAUUGCCCAUAUAUUCUUAUCCCAUAUCUUUAAACUUCAUGGCAUGCCGAGUUCCAUAGUCACACAGACAGAGACAAAACAUUCACAUUUAUGUUCUGGAAAAAAUUAUUCAAAUUACAGGGGACUAAACUCUGUUUUAGCUCGGCUUACCAUCCUUAAUCUGAUGGUCAAACUGAGAACAUAAACAAAUGUUUAGAACAGUAUCUACGAUGCUUUUCUGGAAGACAAACAAGCCUAUGAGCCCAUAGGUUCUUACAGCAACUCUAAUGGGCAUUUAUUUUUCCCCUCGAUGGUAUAUUUAAGUUCAAUUUCGUGGGACUUCCCUUAAUUUUAUAGGUCAAGGACAAUGAGCUAGCCGACGUAGUUGCAUUUAGUGUCAGAAAUAAUUAUAAAGUGGAAAAUAUGAUUAUAGAAGCUAUGAGUAAAGUAGGCAGGAAAUGUGCAGCAAUUCUUACAGAAGGGAGAAGUUCCAAGAACAAUUUUUAUGAUGUCGAAGGCAUGCAAUUUGACUGUGGUUAUACUUCUCCGUACUUUACCAGAGAUAGUGUCGAAUAUGAAAAGUGCAAGGUAUUUUCUUUCUUUCUUUUGCUCGUAUGCUUUUAUUCGGUUAAAUCCUUGGCGCAUCAAACAUUAUAAAAUCUUGUUCGAUCAUGCAGAAUGCUUGUAGAGGGAUAGAUAAAAUUCUCAUAUCCCUUCUCAUUGCCUCUCCCCUCUUCUACUAUAUGCACAAGUGUAAAUAUUUUAUGCCAUUUUAAAUUCUUACUCCAGUUAAAUAGAAAAUUGUUGUUGUAUAUCUUGAAUAGGAAAUUUUAGAUUCUACAAAUAGCACAAUGAAAAAUAUCAUUAGAGAGAAGCCUUACAAUCAUGGUUAAAGAUAGUAUAGGAAUUUUCAUCAAGUGAGAUAUAAGUAUAUCAAUAGAGACAUAGCAUAAUGAGUGCUAUUUGUUCUCUUCAUAUCAUUUCUAAGGUUUUGAUUCUUCUCUAUGGUGAAGGCAACAAGUUGGUAUUUUAUACGAUAAUGUACUCUUCAAUUAUAGAAGAGUUGAGGGUUAUAAUUGUCCAAUUAGCAUGCAUAACAAAUUAUUAUUUAUCAGGAUACAUUUACUUUUAUCUUAGGAAACUAGAUGCCCGUGAAGCUAUUGAAUGAUAUUGUGUGGAGAUUGAUAGAUCAGAUGCUUACAGUUCAAUGAAUGCCGUUAAAAG